UGUUCAUCAUCUUCGCACUCGUCUUCAGCAACCCUAUUUUUUUUCUUCAUCUUCUUCUCCUUCAUCUUAACAGUUUCAAUAUUUCUCUGCAAACCAACAAAAACAGAGACCCAUGGCAACAUCGCACCAGAUCCAUCAUCAUCACCAUCGAACAUCCUGUUUUACCCCUUCUCUGUAAACGGGUUAGGUUUUGCACUAUUUUCUUCGAUAGCUCAGGUGUUAUUCUGUUGUGUUGAUCCAUCUCCCUCACCUGUAACUGAAGAACACAGGUUUUUAAGCGUGGCAUCAAGUUAUCUUCCUCAAUAAUUAAUCAGCCUUUGGGUUCUUCUUGGCACGAAAGCGGAGCAGUGGAUUUCAAGUAGCAUCCACUCAUCGGCCAUGUACAAAAGGAACUGCCACAUUAGAGAACUGACCUUGAUGGAACUCAGUACAAUCUCUUACUGUUAGACAGUGAAGGAAUAGAUGCCUAUGAUCAAACACAAUAUGAAUGGCUUAUUGGAUCACAAUAUGCUACAUCUGAUUGGGUUGCAAUAAGAAAACCUCCACCUUGUGCCAUUGAUUCUUGG